UUUACCUAUAUCUACAAGGAAUAAUAUGGCUUACAAGUUAUCAACAUCAGAGCACCUGGGCGACGAGAACCAAGUAUGACUACACGCCCUUUAUUUCGACUGACGAGACACGAGAUUGGGGCUGCCCGAAGCACAGCAAGAUAUGUGACUUGUUAUGCAAACAAAACGGACAUCCUUUUGGCUACUGCAAUGGUGCUAGCGCUCACGGUGGUUGCAGCUGUUUUG